rnacentral:rRNA from 1 species
AGAGUUUGAUCCUGGCUCAGGAUGAACGCUGGCGGCGUGCUUAACACAUGCAAGUCGAACGGAGCUGUAUUGAAACCUAGUGAUAUACAGCUUAGUGGCGGACGGGUGAGUAACGCGUGGGCAACCUGCCGCAUACCGGGGGAUAACACUUAGAAAUAGGUGCUAAUACCGCAUAAGCGCACAGAGCCGCAUGGCUUGGUGUGAAAAACUCCGGUGGUAUGCGAUGGGCCCGCGUCUGAUUAGCUAGUUGGCGGGGUAGAGGCCCACCAAGGCGACGAUCAGUAGCCGGCCUGAGAGGGCGGACGGCCACAUUGGGACUGAGACACGGCCCAGACUCCUACGGGAGGCAGCAGUGGGGGAUAUUGCACAAUGGGGGAAACCCUGAUGCAGCGACGCCGCGUGAGUGAAGAAGUCAUUCGUGAUGUAAAGCUCUAUCAGCAGGGAAGAAAAUGACGGUACCUGACUAAGAAGCCCCGGCUAACUACGUA